GUGCAGCAGGCGCGAAACCUCCGCAAUGCGCGAAAGCGCGACGGGGUUACCCCGAGUGCCGUCCGCUGAGGACGGCUUUUGCCCAGUGUAGCCAGCUGGGCGAAUAAGGAGAGGGCAAGUCUGGUGUCAGCCGCCGCGGUAAUACCAGCUCUCCGAGUGGUGGGGACGCUUAUUGGGCCUAAAGCAUCCGUAGCCGGUCUGGCAAGUCCCUUGUUAAAUCCAACGAUUCAAUCGUUGGACCGCAAGGGAUACUGCCAGACUAGGGGGCGGGAGAGGCCGACGGUAUUCCCGGGGUGGGGUGAAAAUCCUAUAAUCCCGGGAGGACCACCAGUGGCGAAGGCUGUCGGCUAGAACGCGCCCGACGGUGAGGGAUGAAAGCUGGGGGAGCGAACCGGAUUAGAUACCCCCGGUAGU
rnacentral:rRNA from 1 species